CCGAGUUUACAACUCCCAAACCCCUGUGAACAUACCUAUACUGUUGCCUCGGCGGAUCAGCCCGCUCCCCGGUAAAAAGGGACGGCCCGCCCGAGGACCCCUAAACUCUGUUUUAUAGUGAACUUCUGAGUAAAACAACAAAUAAAUCA
rnacentral:misc_RNA from 1 species